GCAAGAGAGGGAGAGAGAGAGAGGGGGGGGGAGAGAGGGAGGGAGAGAGAGUUAGAGAGCAAAAGAGAGAGAGAGAGCAACAGACAGAGAGAGCAAGAGAGAGAGAGAGAACGAGAGGGAGAGAGAGCAAGAGAGAAAGAGAGAGCACGAGAGAGAGAGAGCAACAGACAGAGAGAGGGAGAGAGAAAGAGAGAGAGAGUGAGACAGUACCACAGUGUGUGAUCUUUAAGUUAAACUACAGACGUGAGCUUUAAAUGACAUCUGAAAUGUAAUGUUAAUCUGUAUCUCUCCCUUUCAUCUCUGUACCUUGAUUUAUAUUUGAUAAUGUUCCCACUGUAGCAUGAUUAAGUGGGAGAUGUUGACAACAAGAAAGAGAAAGAGAGAGAAUGAGAAAGAAAGAGAGGGAGGGAGGGAGAGAGAGAAAGCGAGAGAGUAAGAGAGAAACAGAGAAAGAGAGGGCGGGAGAGAAAGAGAGGGAGAGAGAGAAAGAGAGGGAGAGAGA
ensembl:lncRNA